UGCAAAAUGAACUCUCAUCAGUGUCCCAGAAAUGGAAGUGUGGCUUUGAGGUCUGGGAAGCCCCACUGCUCUGGUGUGGUCCUGGGGUUCCUCAUGUAAGACAGAGACAAUACUUCCCAGGGUACCCAUGCUAAGACAGGUGCAGGCUCCAGGGACACCCUUUGUUCCCCAGCUCCCCAAGAGUGCAAUACUGGGUGGGCUUCAGUCUCCCAGGUUUCUACCUGGGCCGUGCCUGGCUCAGGAGAUGUGCAUAGAGAUUGAUGAGGGCAAAGCCAGAGGAGAGGUGGCUCCCUGGGUACCAACCCUGUGGCCUUUUCAAACUAGGAAUCUAGAAAGGGAGAGCAAGCCACUGACUUUGGAACCAGCACACACAAUUCAUGGGACUCUCCCAGUUCAUGGUCCCACAGCCCCAGGGCAAACCUCGCCUAUCCAGUGGCCUAACAAAUUCUACUGGAGACACAUUUCCGAGGCCCCAGGUGGGAACUUGAGGCCGUUUUGAGAGAGGGCGGGUGCUAGGACAGGUGCUGUGUUGGGGAGAGAGGGCGGGUGCUAGGACAGGUGCUGUGAUGGGGAGAGAGGGUGCGUGCUAGGACAGGUGCUGUGAUGGGGAGAGGGCGAGUGCUAGGACAGGUGCUGUGUGGGGAGCCUCUCGUCUUUUUCUUUACAGUCCACCCUGAGAUGCCUUCACUCGGAAUGUCCAAUGUAGGCCUGACAGGGUGUCCUGCCCUGUGGAACUCAGAUGUGUCAUACCCAGGUCUCCACAGGAUCUAAGGAAAGGGUUUUAGUACCCAACCUCAGAUUAGGAACUGCCAAAUGAGACAGAGUGAAAGUGUUUCCUCAGAUGUGGGACUUCCUAGAGCCUGCAGCCAUGAAGCUGCUCACUGGAGAGGGUAGACAGCCUGCGCCUCUCACUGCAGGGGCUCUAAGCCAGCUCCUCACUGUACCCCACUGGAAGGUUGUCCUUGCUGUGUGGUUUCUGCACCCUACUUGGGCACAGCCUUUUACUACACCAGGCGACGGGGAGCGGCAUGGUGCAGGGCUUCUGAGCAAGCAGUGUAGGCAGGGGGAAGCACAGAGGUCUGUAGAGUGCAGGAG
ensembl:lncRNA